ACCAAACAGUAACACCUGAAGAGUCAUUAGCCGGUAAUCUCUACUAACUUCUCUCCAGGUCAUGCUUUUUUAAAGGUUUUCACAUUAUUUUUUAAAUCUUCUGUUUGUUUUUGAAGUUAAGUAGCCUACUAAAUCAACAGAGCAGCCUCAUUACAGUAAGCAUAGGUGAAUUGAAGGGGCUAGCACGUGUCCAUGUACGAUUUGACACCGCAGUAAAUCAGUAUAGGACGCAACGGAUUUCAUUGUGAAAUUACAUUGGCUCUAUGUCACUGACUAGCGGAAAUGUUGAGGCAAAGAUUCCCUUGAGGGGAAGUAGCCUAUCUUUGGCUGAGGCCCCACAUCCAGUAGUCAGCAUGGUGGCGUUGAAAGGUCAAAUUGCAGUAAUAUUACCAGAUCGCACUAGUAUUCCAACGCUGAAGAAACAUUGAUAUUACAAUGGAGGAAACGAAUGAUAAAGGUAAUGAUAGGCCUAUAUAUGGCCAAUGCGACGUUUAUCUCGGGACUGUGCAGCUCUGUGCCACUUCCAUUUUUCCUAACAUUCAAAAUACCGCAAACGUUUGGAUUGUUUGAGGAAGUUCGAGGAGUGUGCAAGCACCUGUACAACUGUUCUUGCCACCUGCGCUACAUACACGCAAUGGCCAUUUGAGCGUUUCUUCAAGAGGGAUUUGACAAGGAAAUUCAGAAUUGAGCGGAAUGACAAGAGAUUAAUUCACCAGGAAAACGCCUUCUUCCACGCAACUAACUGCAGGCUGUGGGGUGAACAUCUCCGUGCUGCGAGCCCCGAGCUCCGUUUCCAUGACGCUCCCCCCGAGAGACGGAUGACAUCGAUUUUCACCUCCGCCACACUCCUGCCUCCGGCGGACAAAUUUCCCAUCAGCAGCUAUAAGCGAGGUAAACAUCUGAGUUUCUAUCAGCGGCCAGCAAUGUGUGAAAUGGUGCCCAUCUCGGUCCCUGUGUGGCCCUGCACCCCUCCUCUUCGCCGGAGAACCCUGUAGCUCCGCUUGUCUAUUGUUCGCGGGGGACGAGACAUUUUGGAGAGCGAGGCCCGUGUUGAUUCUGUGUCUAGCCCGGUGAGGCUCCAGGGCACAGGACCUUAUCCAUCACUCUGAUUAACGUGCCACUGGGUGCCCCCUCUCCUCGCUAGAUUAGCCAUGGAGGAUGCUGCCCUGUUGUCUCAAGUGCAUUUUUCUAUUGAAUUAUCUUUUUGGAAUUAUUGCUACUGUUACUAGCUUUAUCCCUAGUGCCUGAUUCUUCUACCUUUAAGUAAUAGUGAUACU